AGUGAACGCUGGCGGUAGGCCUAACACAUGCAAGUCGAACGGCAGCACAGUAAGAGCUUGCUCUUACGGGUGGCGAGUGGCGGACGGGUGAGGAAUACAUCGGAAUCUACUUUUUCGUGGGGGAUAACGUAGGGAAACUUACGCUAAUACCGCAUACGACCUACGGGUGAAAGCAGGGGAUCUUCGGACCUUGCGCGAUUGAAUGAGCCGAUGUCGGAUUAGCUAGUUGGCGUGGUAAAGGCCCACCAAGGCGACGAUCCGUAGCUGGUCUGAGAGGAUGAUCAGCCACACUGGAACUGAGACACGGUCCAGACUCCUACGGGAGGCAGCAGUGGGGAAUAUUGGGCAAUGGGCGCAAGCCUGAUCCAGCCAUACCGCGUGGGUGAAGAAGGCCUUCGGGUUGUAAAGCCCUUUUGUUGGGAAAGAAAAGCAGCAGGUUAAUACCCCGCUGUUCUGACGGUACCCAAAGAAUAAGCACCGGCUAACUUCGUG
rnacentral:rRNA from 1 species